AAUGGGUCGCGCUAUUCAUGCUACUAGGGUCACAUUCACAACGUGACCCCAAUCUUCUACACCUUCGCUUGAGAAACUUGGGUUGGCCGCCGGAUUAUAGGUUGCCGAGGAGUACAACAAAGACCAACUCACAACCUCAACCUAAAAGUCAUCCAUGUUGCCUAUGGAGGAAACACUGGGCGUCAGAGAAGGGGCAUCACCAACUUCAAUUUCCAUGCUUGAGACUCCCUCUACUUCCUCGGGGUCUUCCUCCUCCUCCUCCUGAGCCAUAGGCUCAUCCAGCUGCAUCUCCAAAGUGUGGAUA
rnacentral:lncRNA from 1 species